ensembl:lncRNA
CGGCCCUGAGAGCGGCCCGCCGCCCGGGGCGAGGGGUCGGUGCGCCUCGGCGGGCGGCCUUCGCAGGAAUGCCAAAAAUGCGCUAAUUGUGCCCUGCCGCGCCUCCGGGAUUAGGGGUAGCCGUCUUUUAGGAAACGGGAGCGUGGCUCGACCGAUAGCGAAGGGCUGCGCCCCGCGUCCCCCCGGCCCUUGGGUUCGGUGCGGCGAUCCGGCGGUUCCUGGCAUCGCCCUGCGCGCCGGGAUCUGAAGUUGGAACAAAAAGGUCCCCAUGGAAACAGGGAGUCAUCUAUCAGUACCGCGUUCGCCCGGUCCUGCCAUGUUUGUGGGGAGAGUUGGGCCGCGCCGCCCGGCCUCUCCCCAUGCGCGUGUGUGUGAGGCCUAAAACAAAGCGGCCGUGUCAAAGUGCCCCUGGUGAGAUGGAAGGGCUCCCGGCGGGCGGGAGGGCUCCCGCAUCCCGACGUUAUUUCUUCCAGGAGCAGUGGAAGCGUUUGGAUCCCUCCUUGCAAACUUUUGUGUCGCGGUAUCUCCACUGUCAGCCUCCCGGGUUGGAGCUGCGGGGAUAUCCAGCAUUCGGAUUUUCCCCUCUUUGCCGAAGUACCUUUGUGAAGUCCUGAGCUGAGAGCGGCGGAACGGAGCAAAGCGCUCAAAAUCAGCGUUGAUAGCUUAGCGUGGGGUGUGUGGAUGCAUUGUCAGUGCCUGCGCAGAAACAGAACGGUGCUUUAAUGCAGGAAUGGAAACUAAAACGUCCCAGAAGCUCACGUGUGCACAACAACGUGGGAAGGGCUCCCCGCUAAAGGAUGUGUCACGUCUAACUGUAAAAAAAAACCUGACAGAACGAAGCACUAAGCGUGUCGUAGCACUAAGUUACCUCCUUGCAUUGGGAAGGGAUCAUUCCCUUUGGUAGUUUUCAAUAUGUAAUGUUCUCGGUCUUUUAAAGGGCUUUGUCUGGCUGCAGCAUCCGUCUGCCGUGUGAGCUGAGCAGAAAGCGACCACUUUGCUGAUGGUCUUUUUGAAUGCACGUGGUUUAUAGCUCCUAAGGUGGUGCUUGUAAAGCACCCUGCUUGCUGGGGUGGGGGUUGCUCCAGGUUAGGGGACCCACUGAGGUGCAUUUCCCAUAUAGGGGCUGUGAGGUUUUCCAAGCGCCCUCCGAAUGUACUGUGAAGUGGCACGGCUCACUCUUCCCUUCUGCAGACCUGCAGACAUUUGGAUUCUUCUCCUAUAACUGAAUCAUGUGCAUGCAUACACGCCAAGAAGAGUAAAGCUCGGUGAGUUGUGUGGAGCUCUCUGGAGGCAGCAAGGGGAAGAAAUGACCACCAGAAGCAAACCGGAGAUGGAUGCAAGGGAUGCAUCGUUGUGGAACAGAAAAUUGGUUCUCCAAACAAACUGCUCCAAGUGAGUGGAUGGAUGGGGAGAUGUCUGACAUUAACAACAUGUAACUGCUUUCUGAAAACCCUGGGAUACCUGAAAGCCUUAAGAAGGAGUGCUGCUGCAGUUGCAAAGUGAUAGAAUGAAGUCAAUACCCAAAAUGAUGCUGCAGCCACAUCUGGAGUUUGCUUCAGGUGGAGUGCUUUAACUCUCUGAAAGGGAACGUCGCACAUCUCGGGGUCGUCUUAAAGAGAAACAGAAGAUGCAGAGGAGUACAUCCGAGAAAAGCACUUUAUUCCCUCAGCACAGAUUGACUCCCCAGGUCCCACCUGGAGCAGAACUUUCCGUGCAGUUCCCCCAGCACAGCUCUGGUACAUCCAUGCAGGAUUGGACUUACUGAGGGGUUUGCCUUCAUUUCUCCUUCUGCCCACUUUGGGGUGCCCGCAUUACCUGCAGCCACACGUCCUGCAUUGCUGCCUUGCCUCUGUUGUACCGCAUUCUGCUGAAAAAUACAUAGAAUGAAAAUGAUUUCCCACUUGUAAGGGCAGAAUAAAUAGAAAUACUUGCAGAUAAUGAUGCAGUUUUUUCCUCAGUGUCACCGAAAAACUUAACUCGGUUUUGUUUUCUCAAUCAUCCCUCUGUGUUUGCACUUCUCUGUUAAACAGCAACUGAGAACAAACCGAGAAUAAAAGUGGAGAGCGUUUUUAUUACAAAGGAUUUCACCUUUCUGUCAUUUUUGUACUAAAACAGAUCUGAAACUGCCAUCCACCUCUUCAGUUCAAUUUUUGUUUCACUGCAUUGGAGAAACUUUUAUAUAGAAAAACAAGAGAUGGAUAACCUUUAUUUCUCUGCAUUUUCUGUGUGUCCUCUCCUAAAUGAGACCAAUCUACGCAUGGAAUGGGGAAUUACUUGUGGUCAGAAAUAAACAGCAAUGGCACGA